AGAGAGAGACAUGCGCGCAUAUCAAUAAGCGGAGGAAAAGAAACUAACAAGGAUUCCCUUAGUAACGGCGAGUGAAGCGGGAAGAGCUCAAAUUUGAAAUCUUCAAGGUUCUACCUUGACGAAUUGUAGUUUAUAGAAGUGUUUUCUGUUAGUGGAGUGGCAAAAAGUUCUUUGGAAUAGGACAUCAUAGAGGGUGAGAAUCCCGUAUUUGGUCAUUCCUCCUAGCGUUGUGAUACACUUUCAACGAGUCGGAUUGUUUGGGAAUGCAGUCCAAAAUGGGUGGUAAAUUUCAUCUAAAGCUAAAUAUUGGCGAGAGACCGAUAGCGAACAAGUACCGUGAGGGAAAGAUGAAAAGAACUUUGAAAAGAGAGUUAAACAGUACGUGAAAUUGUCAAAAGGGAAGCGUUUGACACCAGUGUUGUUUUUCCGAAAAUCAAUUACGAAUGCUUUUAUUUUUAGAGAGUUAUGACUUCAUCGGCUUGCUUCUUUCUUUACGAAACUUUCUUAAUGCACUUUUCGGUUAACAAGUCAACAUCAAUUUCUUUUGUUGUAAAAGGGUAUGAGGAGGGUGGCUUUCUUUUCGGAGAAAGUGUUUAUAGCCUUGUGCCUCUGCAAUCGGAGAGAUUGAGGUCUGCAGCGUAGAUCCUUCGGGGUUAGAUACAGUUUGUGCUAAGUUAUAGCUUUUCAUAGACAACUUGUUGACUAUGUUUAGUCUUGUAGCUUACUCGCUGAUGCUACUUUACCUACGCUUAGGAUGUUGAUAGUCACAGCGUGUAC
rnacentral:rRNA from 1 species